GAGCCAUUACAGCUAGUUUAGAUUUUUUUCUAGCAGGUUUUCUGACUUUGGUAGGAAACCCCA
rnacentral:snRNA from 14 species